rnacentral:rRNA from 1 species
CCUACGGGAGGCAGCAGUGAGGAAUAUUGGUCAAUGGACGCGAGUCUGAACCAGCCAAGUCGCGUGAGGGAUGACUGCCCUAUGGGUUGUAAACUUCUUUUAUAUGGGAAUAAAGUGUUCCACGUGUGCGCUUUUGUAUGUACCCUAUGAAUAAGGAUCGGCUAACUCCGUGCCAGCAGCCGCGGUAAUACGGAGGAUCCGAGCGUUAUCCGGAUUUAUUGGGUUUAAAGGGUGCGUAGGUGGAUUUUUAAGUCAGUUGUGAAAGUUUGCGGCUCAACCGUAAAAUUGCAGUUGAAACUGGGAGUCUUGAGUACAGUAGAGGUGGGCGGAAUUCGUGGUGUAGCGGUGAAAUGCUUAGAUAUCACGAAGAACUCCGAUUGCGAAGGCAGCCUACUGGACUGCAACUGACACUGAGGCGCGAAAGUGUGGGUAUCAAACAGGAUUAGAUACCCUAGUAGUC